rnacentral:rRNA from 1 species
UACGUAGGGUGCGAGCGUUAAUCGGAAUUACUGGGCGUAAAGCGUGCGCAGGCGGUUUUGUAAGUCAUAUGUUAAAUCCCCGGGCUCAACCUGGGAACUGCGUUUGUGACUGCAAGACUCGAGUGCGGCAGAGGGGGGUGGAAUUCCACGUGUAGCAGUGAAAUGCGUAGAGAUGUGGAGGAACACCGAUGGCGAAGGCAGCCCCCUGGGUCGACACUGACGCUCAUGCACGAAAGCGUGGGGAGCAAACAGG